rnacentral:rRNA from 1 species
CGCUCCGCGCAUGUGGUGGUGGUGGAAAGCUUUUGUGGUUUUGGAUGGACUCGCGGCCUAUCAGCUUGUUGGUGGGGUAAUGGCCUACCAAGGCGACGACGGGUAGCCGGCCUGAGAGGGUGACCGGCCACACUGGGACUGAGACACGGCCCAGACUCCUACGGGAGGCAGCAGUGGGGAAUAUUGCACAAUGGGCGCAAGCCUGAUGCAGCGACGCCGCGUGAGGGAUGACGGCCUUCGGGUUGUAAACCUCUUUCAGUAGGGAAGAAGCCGCAAGGUGACGGUACCUGCAGAAGAAGCGCCGGCUAACUACGUGCCAGCAGCCGCGGUAAUACGUAGGGCGCAAGCGUUAUCCGGAAUUAUUGGGCGUAAAGAGCUCGUAGGCGGUUUGUCGCGUCUGCUGUGAAAGACCGGGGCUCAACUCCGGUUCUGCAGUGGGUACGGGCAGACUAGAGUGAUGUAGGGGAGACUGGAAUUCCUGGUGUAGCGGUGAAAUGCGCAGAUAUCAGGAGGAACACCGAUGGCGAAGGCAGGUCUCUGGGCAUUAACUGACGCUGAGGAGCGAAAGCAUGGGGAGCGAACAGGAUUAGAUACCCUGGUAGUCCAUGCCGUAAACGUUGGGCACUAGGUGUGGGGGACAUUCCACGUUUUCCGCGCCGUAGCUAACGCAUUAAGUGCCCCGCCUGGGGAGUACGGCCGCAAGGCUAAAACUCAAAGGAAUUGACGGGGGCCCGCACAAGCGGCGGAGCAUGCGGAUUAAUUCGAUGCAACGCGAAGAACCUUACCAAGGCUUGACAUGAACCGGUAACGCCUGGAAACAGGUGCCCCGCUUGCGGUCGGUUUACAGGUGG